UCUCUUUUAAAACUUCUAAAUGCCCAUUUG
rnacentral:piRNA from 1 species